rnacentral:rRNA from 1 species
UACAGAGGAUGCAAGCGUUAUCCGGAAUGAUUGGGCGUAAAGCGUCUGUAGGUGGCUUUUUAAGUCCGCCGUCAAAUCCCAGGGCUCAACUCUGGACAGGCGGUGGAAACUACCAAGCUGGAGUACGGUAGGGGCAGAGGGAAUUCCCGGUGUAGCGGUGAAAUGCGCAGAUAUCGGGAGGAACACCGGUGGCGAAGGCGGUUCUCUGGGCCUGUACUGACGCUGAGGAGCGAAAGCGUGGGGAGCGAACAGG